rnacentral:RNase_P_RNA from 1 species
CCGAACGGUUGCGUCGCAAGACGAGGAAAGUCCGAACACCGCAGGACAGGAUGCCGGCUAACUACCGGUGAAGGCGACUUCAAGGAAAGUGCAACAGAAAUAAACCGCCGUCUUUUGGCGGCAAGGAUGGAAAGGCAGUGUAAGAGACUACCGCUUCCGCGGCGACGCGGAAGGCUCUGUAAACCCCAUCCGGUGCAAGAUUCGGGAGGUUGUAGGUUGUCCGCCGACUCCCGCACAUCGCUCGAGCACGCCGGCAACGGCGCGCCCAGACAGAUAACCGUUCUCGACAGAAUUCGGCUUACAGGUC